AACUCUUAGCAGUGGAUCACUCGGCUCAACGAAGAAGGCAGCUGGCUGUGAGAAUUGGUGUGAAUUGCAGGACCCACGGAUCAUCAAUGCUUCAAAUGCAUUUGCAGCCCUAGUUUCCUCCUGGGGCUACACCUGUUGGAGCAUCA
rnacentral:rRNA from 1 species